rnacentral:lncRNA from 1 species
GUACAAUCCUAUGCAGAACCUGGUCUAAGCAGAUGCUUUCAAUGGAACCUAUUACAGAAAGAAGUCCUUGUGCCAUCAUUUAAAGGGAUUCAUUUCUGCCUACCUUGCAAACAAGGGAAAGGAAUUAUUUGGUGACUUCACCAUAUCAUUGGUCGUCCCAGAGAUGGAACAGUUUCAUGGUCAGUUACUCUGUUCGUAGGAUUUAACAGUGUUGGUUUUUCUGGAUGUAAAAGCACCUGUUUUGCAGCUGAAGGGACAUGGACCGUCACUGGAAUGGCACUUCAAAUUUGAGUGAUUCGUCUCUUUCCUCUGUCAUUUGAAAGGGAUUUUUAAGCACCUGCAUUACAAACUGUGAUUACCAAGCAGAGUAGCAAACCCAGGAGAGGCCAGAGGUUUAACCUGCUUGUUCCAAGAGUUUUAGCUUUCAAUACCAGGUGACUUUGCUGAGAUCCCUCUGCUCAGAGCACUGGAUUCUGGGGUCCCCUUUUGGAGACCUGACACAAAAUGAGGGAUGCAACCUCAGAAUUUCCGUCUGUGAAUGGAACUGAAUGUGUAAUAACAGUGAAAGUGCCUGAACUUGGUCAGUGUCAUGUGGGCAAAGGAGUCAUACACCCUGGUUAAAUGAAGGAGAUAGCCUGGUCCUUAAUAAUGAGCAAAUCAAGCAGCAAUCCAUUGCAUGGCAGAAGUUUGGACCCAAGCCCAUGAACCCGUACAAGCAAAUCCAGCCAUCACAUAGAAAUAAAUGGACUUUCUCAGACACAGACCUUCUACCAAUGGUUAAAAUAUUGGUAUUUUCCUGAG